rnacentral:lncRNA from 1 species
CUGUGUUCCAGAAUUGGUUUGUUCAACACUGAAUUCACCAGAGACGUUGUCCCUGCCAUAAUAGGUCUUAAUUACUGUGGUCGUUUUCAAAGUGUGGUCCAGUUUCGACAGCAUCACUGUUACUCCCUUAGAAAUGUACAGUCUUAGUCUCUGCCUUUGACCUACUGAAUCAGAAACUCUCCACUUGGAUUGUCAUCUGUGUGUUAACUAUCCUUCCACAUCAAUUUGAUGCACUAUAAUAUUAAGAAUCACUGGUGUAGUUGUAUUCUCCAAGUAUACAAGGGUCUCUUUGUUUCACUUUUUUUCUUUUUUUUCUUCAUUCAGGAGUUUGACAACAUACCUUAUUUCUGUGACUAAAAGGUUAUUGCUUUGUAAAUGUGCACAUAAGCAUGAAUUUGCAUUUCAGAGGUCAGAGAGCCAAUUUUGGGGUGCACAGAAAUAAGAGAUAUUUUCAGUUUUAGUCCAUUUGAAAUAAUUUCACUGCUUUCUCUAAGAACUAUAGUUCUAUAAUGUAAAGUUUAU